rnacentral:rRNA from 1 species
GAUGAACGCUGGCGGUGUGCCUAAUACAUGCAAGUCGAGCGAACAGUUAAGGGGUUUGCGCCUUUGACGUUAGCGGCGGACGUGUGAGUAACACGUGGAUAACCUACCUAUAAGACUGGGAUAACUUCGGGAAACCGGAGCUAAUAUCGGAUAACAUAUGCCACCGCAUGGUUCAAUAGCGAAAGGCGGCUUUGCUGCUACUUAUGCAUGGAUCCGCGCCGUAUUAGCUAGUUGGUAAGGUAACGGCUUACCAAGGCAACGAUACGUAGCCGACCUGAGAGGAUGAUCGGCCACACUGGAACUGAGACACGGUCCAGACUCCUACGGGAGGCAGCAGUAGGGAAUCUUCCGCAAUGGGCGAAAGCCUGACGGAGCAACGCCGCGUGAGUGAUGAAGGUCUUCGGAUCGUAAAACUCUGUUAUCAGGGAAGAACAAAUGUGUAAGUAACUGUGCACAUCUUGACGGUACCUGAUCAGAAAGCCACGGCUAACUACGUG